GCAAGAUGCAGCUUUAAAAAAUGGUAGUUAUACCCCGCAUGAUUAACUACAGGAUUUAACAUUCAGGGGGCGGACUCUUCCCCCUGAGUGUAUGCCU
rnacentral:sRNA from 12 species